UGGGGAAUAUUGGACAAUGGGCGCAAGCCUGCUCCAGCCAUGCCGCGUGAGUGAUGAAGGCCCUAGGGUUGUAAAGCUCUUUCACCGGUGAAGAUAAUGACGGUAACCGGAGAAGAAGCCCCGGCUAACUUCGUGCCAGCAGCCGCGGUAAUACGAAGGGGGCUAGCGUUGUUCGGAUUUACUGGGCGUAAAGCGCACGUAGGCGGACUUUUAAGUCAGGGGUGAAAUCCCGGGGCUCAACCCCGGAACUGCCUUUGAUACUGGAAGUCUUGAGUAUGGUAGAGGUGAGUGGAAUUCCGAGUGUAGAGGUGAAAUUCGUAGAUAUUCGGAGGAACACCAGUGGCGAAGGCGGCUCACUGGACAAUUACUGACGCUGAGGUGCGAAAGCGUGGGGAGCAAGCAGG
rnacentral:rRNA from 1 species